GGAACAGGCCUUUCAGGCAUCCUCUCCCAAAACUUCUACGACCCGGCUUAACCGCCGGGUCUUUUUUUGCCCGCGC
rnacentral:sRNA from 1 species